UACGAGGGGGGCGAGCGUUGUUCGGAAUUAUUGGGCGUAAAGGGUGCGUAGGCGGUUUGGUAAGUCUUAUGUGAAAUCUACAGGCUCAACUUGUAGUCUGCAUGAGAAACUGCCGGGCUUGAGUAUGGGAGAGGUGAGUGGAAUUCCUGGUGUAGCGGUGAAAUGCGUAGAUAUCAGGAGGAACACCAAUGGCGAAGGCAGCUCGCUGGGACGUUACUGACGCUGAGACGCGAAAGCGUGGGGAGCAAACAGG
rnacentral:rRNA from 1 species